ACCCGAUGAGGAAGCAGACUCAAAUUGAUAGGAAGUGCCGUAUGAUACUCUAAACAGCAGCGGUGAC